GACAGAGGUGCCGAGCGUUAGGCGGAAUUACUGGGCUUAAAGCGUGUGUAGGCGGGUCGUUAAGUGUCCGAGUGAAAUCCCACGGCUCAACCGUGGAACUGCCGGGCAUACUGGCGAUCUUGAGGCAUUCAGGGGCGAGCGGAACAAAUGGUGGAGCGGUGAAAUGCGUAGAUAUCAUAUGGAACGCCAAUGGUGAAAACAGCUCGCUGGGAAUGAUCUGACGCUGAGACGCGAAAGCCAGGGGAGCGAACGGG
rnacentral:rRNA from 1 species